GCCGGGCACGGUGUUGUGUGCCUGUAGUCCCAGCUACUCGGGAGGCUGAGGUGGGAGGAUCGCUUGAGCCCAGGAAUUCUGGGCUGUAGUGCGCUAUGCCGAUCAGGUGUUCACACUAAGUUUGGCAUCAAUAAGGUGACCUGGGAGUGGGGGACCACCAGGUUGCCUAAGGAGGGGUGAACUGGCCCAGGUCAGAAACGGAGCAGGUCAAAACUCCCAUGCUGGUCAGUUGUGGGAUUGUGCCUGUGAAUAGCCAUUGUACUCUAGCCUGGGCAACAUAGCAAGACCCCAUCUCU
rnacentral:SRP_RNA from 1 species